GACGUAGGGCGCGAGCGUUGUCCGGAUUUAUUGGGCGUAAAGAGCUCGUAGGCGGCUUGUCGCGUCGACUGUGAAAACCCGCGGCUCAACUGCGGGCUUGCAGUCGAUACGGGCAGGCUAGAGUUCGGUAGGGGAGACUGGAAUUCCUGGUGUAGCGGUGAAAUGCGCAGAUAUCAGGAGGAACACCAAUGGCGAAGGCAGCUCGCUGGGACGGUACUGACGCUGAGACGCGAAAGCGUGGGGAGCGAACAGG
rnacentral:rRNA from 1 species